rnacentral:lncRNA from 1 species
UCAGUAAUGGUCUGUGAAUCAUUUGAAUUCUGGUUGAAGGCUGACACCGUCAUAGUCUCUCUACUCAUCUCCAUGGCCAAAAUUUGCUUUUGAAAGCAUUUGCUCCAAAGUAUAAAUGACUGUUAACAACUGCACAUGGCACCCCCCUCCCUUGAAGGCAUUCUGAAUUUCAACCAAACAUUUAGGAUGCAAAAAUGGAACAAGAUUAGCAAGAUUUAGACUUGGAAGCAGGUUGUUAACGGAAGGCUGGGCUUGCAUUCAAGUCACUCUGGAUUGGACAAUGAAGCCACUGAAGGCAGGAAAACACUUGGGAGGCAAUGGCAACA